UUAUAUUCUGUAGCAAGGUUAACCGAAUAGGGGAGCCGGAGGGAAACCGAGUCUUAAUUGGGCGUUAAGUUGCAGGGUAUAGACCCGAAACCCGGUGAUCUAGCCAUGGGCAGGUUGAAGGUUGGGUAACACUAACUGGAGGACCGAACCGACUAAUGUUGAAAAAUUAGCGGAUGACCUGUGGCUGGGGGUGAAAGGCCAAUCAAACCGGGAGAUAGCUGGUUCUCCCCGAAAGCUAUUUAGGUAGCGCCUCGUGAAUUCAUCUCCGGGGGUAGAGCACUGUUUCGGCUAGGGGGCCAUCCCGGCUUACCAACCCGAUGCAAACUGCGAAUACCGGAGAAUGUUAUCACGGGAGACACACGGCGGGUGCUAACGUCCGUCGUGAAGAGGGAAACAACCCAGACCGCCAGCUAAGGUCCCAAAGUCAUGGUUAAGUGGGAAACGAUGUGGGAAGGCCCAGACAGCCAGGAUGUUGGCUUAGAAGCAGCCAUCAUUUAAAGAAAGCGUAAUAGCUCACUGGUCGAGUCGGCCUGCGCGGAAGAUGUAACGGGGCUAAACCAUGCACCGAAGCUGCGGCAGCGAACGUAUCACUUAAAGCGAUUCAGCGGGUUACGAUUAACGGAGCGAAGCGACGUCAAAGCGUAUACAAAGUCGAGUCGGUUUAAGGAUACGUUCGUUGGGUAGGGGAGCGUUCUGUAAGCCUGUGAAGGUGGCCUGUGAGGGUUGCUGGAGGUAUCAGAAGUGCGAAUGCUGACAUAAGUAACGAUAAAGCGGGUGAAAAGCCCGCUCGCCGGAAGACCAAGGGUUCCUGUCCAACGUUAAUCGGGGCAGGGUGAGUCGACCCCUAAGGCGAGGCCGAAAGGCGUAGUCGAUGGGAAACGGGUUAAUAUUCCCGUACUUGGUGUUACUGCGAAGGGGGGACGGAGAAGGCUAUGUUGGCCGGGCGACGGUUGUCCCGGUUUAAGCGUGUAGGUGUGUGUUCCAGGUAAAUCCGGUUCACUUUAACACUGAGGCGUGAUGACGAGGCACUACGGUGCUGAAGCAACAAAUGCCCUGCUUCCAGGAAAAGCCUCUAAGCAUCAGGUAACAUCAAAUCGUACCCCAAACCGACACAGGUGGUCAGGUAGAGAAUACCAAGGCGCUUGAGAGAACUCGGGUGAAGGAACUAGGCAAAAUGGUGCCGUAACUUCGGGAGAAGGCACGCUGACACGUAGGUGAAGUGAUUUACUCA
rnacentral:rRNA from 1 species